rnacentral:rRNA from 1 species
UAAAACGGAGGAAGGUGGGAUGACGUCAAGUCCUCAUGGCCUUUAUGCUUAGGGCUACACACGUGCUACAAUGGGUGGUACAAAGAGAAGCCAACUCGCGAGAGCGCGCCAAUCUCAAAAAGCCAUCCUCAGUUCGGAUUGGAGUCUGCAACUCGACUCCAUGAAGUUGGAAUCGCUAGUAAUCGCGGAUCAGCAUGCCCGCGGUCGAAUACGUUCCGGGCCUU